GAGUUUGAUCCUGGCUCAGAUUGAACGCUGGCGGCAUGCCUUACGCAUGCAAGUCGAACGGCAGCACGGGAGCUUGCUCCUGGUGGCGAGUGGCGAACGGGUGAGUAAUGCAUCGGAACGUGCCCUGAAGUGGGGGAUAACGUAGCGAAAGUUACGCUAAUACCGCAUAUUCUGUGAGCAGUAAAAGCAGGGGAUCGCAAGACCUUGCGCUUUGGGAGCGGCCGAUGUCGGAUUAGCUAGUUGGUGGGGUAAAGGCUCACCAAGGCGACGAUCCGUAGCGGGUCUGAAAGGAUGAUCCGCCACACUGGGACUGAGACACGGCCCAGACUCCUACGGGAGGCAGCAGUGGGGAAUUUUGGACAAUGGGCGCAAGCCUGAUCCAGCCAUGCCGCGUGAGUGAAGAAGGCCUUCGGGUUGUAAAGCUCUUUCGGUGGGGAAGAAAUUGCUUAGGUUAAUACCUUAAGUAGAUGACGGUACCCGCAUAAGAAGCACCGGCUAACUACGUGCCAGCAGCCGCGGUAAUACGUAGGAUGCGAGCGUUAAUCGGAAUUACUGGGCGUAAAGCGUGCGCGGGCGGUUUUGUAAGUCAGAUGUGAAAUCCCCGGGCUCAACCUGGGAACUGCAUUUGAGACUGCAAGGCUAGAGUGUGGCAGAGGGGGGUGGAAUUCCACGUGUAGCAGUGAAAUGCGUAGAGAUGUGGAGGAACACCGAUGGCGAAGGCAGCCCCCUGGGCCAAUACUGACGCUCAUGCACGAAAGCGUGGGGAGCAAACAGGAUUAGAUACCCUGGUAGUCCACGCCCUAAACGAUGUCAACUAGGUGUUGGAAGGGUUAAACCUUUUAGUGCCGUAGCUAACGCGUGAAGUUGACCGCCUGGGGAGUACGGCCGCAAGGCUAAAACUCAAAGGAAUUGACGGGGACCCGCACAAGCGGUGGAUGAUGUGGAUUAAUUCGAUGCAACGCGAAAAACCUUACCUACCCUUGACAUGUCAGGAAGCCUGGAGAAAUUUGGGCGUGCUCGAAAGAGAACCUGAACACAGGUGCUGCUUGGCUGUCGUCAGCUCGUGUCGUGAGAUGUUGGGUUAAGUCCCGCAACGAGCGCAACCCUUGUCAUUAAUUGCCAUCAUUGAGUUGGGCACUUUAAUGAGACUGCCGGUGACAAACCGGAGGAAGGUGGGGAUGACGUCAAGUCCUCAUGGCCCUUAUGGGUAGGGCUUCACACGCCAUACAAUGGUCGGUCCAGAGGGUUGCCAACCCGCGAGGGGGAGCUAAUCUCAGAAAGCCGAUCGUAGUCCGGCUUGAAGUCUGCAACUCGACUUCAUGAAGU
rnacentral:rRNA from 1 species